rnacentral:tRNA from 1 species
GGCCCCGUAGCUCAGUCGGAUAGAGCACAAGAUUCCUAAUCUUGGUGUCACAAGUUCGAUUCUUGUCGGGGUCA